GAAACUGUUGAUAUAUAACGGUACCUCUUGCGUAAUAGCACAGUGGAUAUGGCAUCAGACAACGGACCUGCGGAUCACAUGUUCCACAUAAAAAGCAGUUGUGUUAACUUGCAGGUUACAAAUAUUUUGUAAAAUCCCAAAGAUGUGGAGGACCCUUGAUUAUGCAAAAUAUAUAAAUGAAUGUAUUCUCAGCCUGGGGUGGAAUUCCACCGUUGUUAGCUCCUUGCAGCUCUUUCACACUUGUUUGGUUUUUUUUUUUUUAUCAACUCUUAGAACGUAAAUCAGUUAUUGUGGUUACUGAGAUUCACUGGGGUUUAUACUUAUUAAUCAAAUCCCUCUGUGAUCCUUAAUAGUGGACAUUGAGCCAACAAGUAAAUGCAUGAAACUUACAAUGCCUCUUUGUAUGCUUUAUUGGCUCUGGUCAGUUAUUGUAUCCAAAGUAUGUUGGUACAUGUAAUAUGCAGGUAAUUAUGAAUAAAUGUUACUUUCC
rnacentral:misc_RNA from 1 species